rnacentral:rRNA from 1 species
GAUGAACGCUAGCGGCAGGCCUAACACAUGCAAGUCGAACGGUAACAUUCUCGCUUGCGAGAGAUGACGAGUGGCGCACGGGUGCGUAACGCGUAUGCAACCUACCUCUAUCAGGGGGAUAGCCCGGAGAAAUCCGGAUUAAUACCCCAUAGUAUUACUGAUUGGCAUCUAUUAGUAAUUAAAGCUUCGGCGGAUAGAGAUGGGCAUGCGUCCUAUUAGUUAGUUGGUAAGGUAACGGCUUACCAAGACAGCGAUAGGUAGGGGGCCUGAGAGGGUGAUCCCCCACACUGGUACUGAGACACGGACCAGACUCCUACGGGAGGCAGCAGUGAGGAAUAUUGGUCAAUGGACGAAAGUCUGAACCAGCCAUGCCGCGUGCAGGAUGACUGCCCUAUGGGUUGUAAACUGCUUUUAUACAGGAAUAAACCCCCGGACGUGUCCGGGGCUGAAGGUACUGUAAGAAUAAGGAUCGGCUAACUCCG